rnacentral:rRNA from 1 species
CGCCGGACAGUUCGCGAGGUGUUGGCCCUCUGCAAAGCCAAUUCCCCGGGGCUGGUCUUCCUUUCUGAAACUAGACAAGCCUCAAGCAAGAUGGAGAUCAAGUUUAGACUACAGAUGAGAGGUUUUGCAGGUGUUUCCAGUGAUGGGUUGAGUGGGGGCCUGGCCCUCUAUUGGGAUGAAAAUUUACAAGUGACAGUU